AUGAAUAUGAUAACUAGUGAUGCUAGAGCUAUCAAGAAGGCAUUGUUUGCAGUAUCAACCAUCAUCUACAAAUGCCCAUCAAAAGAGACCAUUUCUCUUGAAACUUCUGUCCCUCCAAGCAUUGUACAUCCUUCAGAGCUUCAUGUCUAUCCUGCUAGUAACUUCUACUCAGUGUCAGAUGCAGCUAUACCUUAUGGAAUGGACAUCCAAAUCUAG
rnacentral:rRNA from 1 species